ensembl:lncRNA
GGGUUAGGCAAACUAAAAUCAGGCAGUUGUUUUUCCUGACUGAGGGAGUCAGGCACGACCCAGAUUCUUAGGCCGAGGCUUCGUGUGCUCAAGUCCCGAUAGAUGUAAGACCUGACGUGGGGAAAGUUGGGCAAUCAAGAGAUCGGGCAGUUGUUUUAGUAUAAAGUCCUGAGCAUCAGGCAGAAAUUUUGAAGUUCAGUGGAGGAGGCUGAAGCUCCUCAAAGAAGGUUCUUUUUGAAAUUACCGGUCAGUAAAGGCACCUUUGGGACUUUUUACUGUUGAAACCUCUAAAAUGGGAGGGUGUAAUAGUAAAAAGACCGGCAAGAGACUGAGGGACAUACCUCCCAAUAGUCCCUUAGGAGAACUGUUAGUAAAAUGGGAUUCUAUAGAGGCCACAGAGGGAUUAGAUAAAGUGAAAAUGAUUCAUUAUUGUAUGGAAGUGUGGCCAGAAUUAGAGUUACAAGGAGGAUGGCCUUGGUGUGGGACAAAGGAUAAGUGGAUGUGCCAACAAUUAAAUAAUUAUCUGACAGCUCGAGGCAAUACUGAUCCUGAGCAAUUAUUGUAUGUAUCUUGCUGGGUAAAGAGCGCUGUUGGGGAUGAAGGGGUGCGAAUUUGUAAGGUACAGAGGAAAAAAGAGGGGAAUGAAGGAGGAGAUGCUAAGACUAGUAAAAGAUGGGAUCCCCUGGAUUAUUUGCCUCCUUCUGUCCCUCCACCAUAUAAUCCUCUUCUUCAAGCACCUCAAAUGGCAGGUCCGGUUCUUCCCCUGGCUGCCAUCUCAUUACCACCUGUUCAAACUCCUCCUUCUACCUCUUCAGCUUCCGCUAUGAUAAACCCAGUAUCCCCUCCAGUUCCUUCUGCACCAUCACAAGUGCCUACUCCACCUGCUGCAUUCUCCACCCCUUCUCCAGCUGCACUUAAUAUCCACUCAGGCUCUUCUCCCCCUCCUAUUGCUGUCCCUUUACCCCCUCCUAGUUGGGGCACAAAUGCCUCCUCGCCCGAUAAACAGCUAUCAGCAAAUACACCUGCUGAUGGGCAGAACAUUCAGAGUAACCCAGAUAUCCCUCAAAGUAUUUUGGCGUCUGAAGAUGGGCCGUACUGUAGCACCAGAUCCAAGACCUCCAAGGCAGAGAGACUCUUUCCCCUCAGAGAGGUUCCUAUGGGAGGAGUAGCGGGAGGUGUUGGCUUUGUGAAUGCUCCUCUA